rnacentral:rRNA from 1 species
UACGGGGGGGGCAAGCGUUGUUCGGAAUUACUGGGCGUAAAGGGCUCGUAGGCGGCCAACUAAGUCAGACGUGAAAUCCCUCGGCUUAACCGGGGAACUGCAUCUGAUACUGGAUGGCUUGAGUUCGGGAGAGGGAUGCGGAAUUCCAGGUGUAGCGGUGAAAUGCGUAGAUAUUCGGAAGAACACCAGUGGCGAAGGCGGCUCACUGGCCCGGUACUGACGCUGAUGUGCGAAAGCGUGGGGAGCAAACAGG